rnacentral:pre_miRNA from 1 species
GGGGGGAGGCCGGAUCCUGGGCUGUGUCCCGGCGCCCUGUGCUCCCGGUCUGCGCUGUUGGAUUCGUGCUCCCGCCCCACAGCCCCCU